rnacentral:lncRNA from 1 species
GAGUCCUCCAAGCAGCAGGGAAGCAAGUGCAAAGGUCCUUGCAGAAGCGAGCUUGGCAUAUUAGAGGGACAGAGGGAGGCCGGAGCAACUGGAGGGUCUUCAGAGACUAUCAAGUGCCAACAAGGGGAUUACCCCUCUGCCCCUCUAAAGGAUUGCAAGAAAGAAGACACCAAAUCCAUGGCAUUUUUUCCCUUAGGAAAGAAGGGAGAUAAUGAGAAGCCUCCACUUGCAAACUGACAUGCUGAAAGCUGCCCUAUGGAGAGGCUCAUGUGGCAAGGAACAGAGGGUGGCUUCUGGCCAACACCCAGUGAGGAACUCAGGCCCUCAGUCAAACAGCCUGCAAGGAACUGAACCCUGCCAAUAACCGCAGUGUCAGCCCCCGGCCAAUGACCACCAUGGACCUCCCUGUAGUUGAACAAAGUUGGGUUUGCUGACUGGUGGCAGUGAGGGAGAAUGCACACCACAGGGAGCUGUGCAGUGUCUCAGUAAGAAGCCAGGAGCCAUCCCGUGAGGCCGUUACUGCAAACAAGCUGAAAAUCCUGCUUUGUUUCUUUUGGACACAACAUGCUUUCCUUCAGCUUCAGUAGACGAUGAGGCCAGCACCACAUGGGCUAGAUGUACAUGAGAUGUGAGCAACCACACUUCCCCUCUGACGGGGACAGACAGCAUCACAGGACAUGAAGUUCUAAGAGGUUCAGUGACUUGUCUAAGAUUAAACAGCUAUGAAUGGAGAACUGGAGGCAAAUGCCUCAUCAUCUCUCACCUGGGCAACUGCAACAAUGAGCAGUUUGUGUCUGUGCCUGCAUCCAUCCUUCCAUCCUGUACUCCAGCAGCAGCCAGGGUGGUCUUUCAAAAAUGCAAAGCUGAUAAUGUUACUCCCCUGCUGUAAACCUUCCAGCGGUUUCCUAUUGCCUUCAGAAUAAAAUACGAAUCAUCUGGCCUCCAUCUAUCUCUCCAGGCUCAUCCUCUCUCAAUUUUCCAUAUCCUUCAGUAUCCUGUUGGGACAGACAGAUGAAGAACCAGAGACCAGAGAGUUUAAGUAGCUUGCCAAAGGUCACACAGCAGUGUAAGCAGUACGGGUGAUUCUUAAGCCCACAUUGUUUGACUUCCGAGACAUAUCAGAAAACUACGUCAAAGAACACGCACAACUCAGACCUAUUUCCAGUGGCCUAUGCAGAAGAGCUACCCUGCUUGAAUGGAAACCCCUUAAGAUACACUAUUCUCAAAAACCUAAGUGCUUAGCCUGGCUUAUGGAGGAGGCAAUGCAAUCUACCACAAGAUGAUUAAGACAACAAUGAACUUAAGACCCAGCCACUGCUGGAGAAUAUCUGCCUGUGAAUUCAAUUUGGUUCAAUUCAAUCCGAAAAAAAAAAAAAAAA